rnacentral:rRNA from 1 species
UACGGAGGGUGCGAGCGUUAUCCGGAAUUACUGGGUUUAAAGGGUGCGUAGGCGGCUUUGUAAGUCAGGAGUGAAAGUUUGCGGCUCAACCGUAAAAUUGCUUCUGAUACUGCAUGGCUAGAAUUAGGAUGAGGUCAGCGGAAUGUGGCAUGUGGCGGUGAAAUGCAUAGAUAUGCCAUAGAACACCAAUUGCGAAGGCAGCUGACUAGACCUGGAUUGACGCUGAGGCACGAAAGCGUGGGGAGCGAACAGG